UCGGCUCUGAAGACUGGGGUUCGCUCCUACCGAUUCCUCUUCUCCAUAGAGAAGAGCUUCCCGGCCGACUUCACCGAAAUGUUGGCCCGAGCCCGGAAGUAUGCCAAGGCCGAGGAGGCAGUCGCCUCCAGGCGGGGAGCAAUCGAGUCCGCCUCGAAGAAGCGGAAGAAGCGCCGCGAGGAGCGCGGCUAGCAAAGGAGCCGGUCUCCCCGCCGAGAGAAGAGUCUCCCCAGACUGAGAAGUCCGCCCCGACAGCAGAGGCGACCUCAGCAGAGGACCUCUCCUCGACCGAGGUCCCCACCACGGCCUCGGACGUACCCGGGGAAGUACGAGAACUAUACACCCGUCAACGCUCCCCGGGCCGAAAUCCUGAUGGAAAUCGAGGGUCGGGACUUCUUCCGAC
rnacentral:lncRNA from 1 species